rnacentral:rRNA from 1 species
GUUUGAUCAUGGCUCAGAUUGAACGCUGGCGGCAGGCCUAACACAUGCAAGUCGAGCGGUAGAGAGAAGCUUGCUUCUCUUGAGAGCGGCGGACGGGUGAGUAAUGCCUAGGAAUCUGCCUGGUAGUGGGGGAUAACGUUCGGAAACGGACGCUAAUACCGCAUACGUCCUACGGGAGAAAGCAGGGGACCUUCGGGCCUUGCGCUAUCAGAUGAGCCUAGGUCGGAUUAGCUAGUUGGUGAGGUAAUGGCUCACCAAGGCGACGAUCCGUAACUGGUCUGAGAGGAUGACCAGCCACACUGGAACUGAGACACGGUCCAGACUCCUACGGGAGGCAGCAGUGGGGAAUAUUGGACAAUGGGCGAAAGCCUGAUCCAGCCAUGCCGCGUGUGUGAAGAAGGUCUUCGGAUUGUAAAGCACUUUAAGUUGGGAGGAAGGGCAGUAAGCGAAUACCUUGCUGUUUUGACGUUACCGACAGAAUAAGCACCGGCUAACUCUGUGCCAGCAGCCGCGGUAAUACAGAGGGUGCAAGCGUUAAUCGGAAUUACUGGGCGUAAAGCGAGCGCAGACGGUUGAUUAAGUCUGAUGUGAAAGCCCGGAGCUCAACUCCGGAAUGGCAUUGGAAACUGGUUAACUUGAGUGUUGUAGAGGUAAGUGGAACUCCAUGUGUAGCGGUGGAAUGCGUAGAUAUAUGGAAGAACACCAGUGGCGAAGGCGGCUUACUGGACAACAACUGACGUUGAGGCUCGAAAGUGUGGGUAGCAAACAGGAUUAGAUACCCUGGUAGUCCACACCGUAAACGAUGAAUACUAGGUGUUAGGAGGUUUCCGCCUCUUAGUGCCGAAGCUAACGCAUUAAGUGUUCCGCCUGGGGAGUACGACCGCAAGGUUGAAACUCAAAGGAAUUGACGGGGGCCCGCACAAGCGGUGGAGCAUGUGGUUUAAUUCGAAGCAACGCGAAGAACCUUACCAGGCCUUGACAUGCAGAGAACUUUCCAGAGAUGGAUUGGUGCCUUCGGGAACUUACAUACAGGUGCUGCAUGGCUGUCGUCAGCUCGUGUCGUGAGAUGUUGGGUUAAGUCCCGCAACGAGCGCAACCCUUGUCAUUAGUUGCCAUCAUUAAGUUGGGCACUCUA